AAAUGGCCAAAAAACGGGUGGGCUAUAGCCUUGGUGGGGGGCGCGGGCGAAGUUCGUCCGCCGGACUCGGAAUGGGGCGAGACUUUGCGAGGGGCUUCGGGGUGCCAAAAAUAAGCCGCGGGCAAAGCCGCGCCCAAAGGUCGUGGUGCCAAAACCCCCCAUCGGAAAAAUGGCCAAAAAACGGGUGGGCUAUAGCCUUGGUGGGGGGCGCGGGCGAAGUUCGUCCGCCGGACUCGGAAUGGGGCGAGACUUUACGAGGGGCCUCGGGGUGCCAGCGGGAAGUCGCGGGCACAGCCACGUCCAAAAAUAAGCGCCCGAAGGUCGUGGUGCCAAAACCCCCCAGCGGAAAAAUGGCCAAAAAACGGGUGGGCUAUAGCCUUGGUGGGAGGCGCGGGCGAAGUUCGUCCGCCGGACUCGGAAUGGGGCGAGACUUUGCGAGGGGCCUCGGGGUGCCAAAAAUAAUCCGCGCGCAAAGCCGCGCCUAAAAAUAAGCACCUGAAGGUCGUGGUGCCAAAAUCCCCCAGCGGAAAAAUGGCCAAAAAAUGGGUGGGCUAUAGCCUUGGUGGUGGGCGCGGGCGAAGUUCGUCCGCCGGACUCGGAAUGGGGCGAGACUUUGCGAGGGGCCUCGGGGUGCCCGCGGGAAGUCGCGGGCACAGCCGCGUCCAAAAAUAAGCGCCCGAAGGUCGUGGUGCCAAAACCCCCCAGCGGAAAAAUGGCCAAAAAACGGGUGAGCUAUAGCCUUGGUGGGGGGCGCGGGCGAAGUUCGUCCGCCGGACUCGGAAUGGGGCGAGACUUUGCGAGGGGCCUCGAGGUGCCUGCGGGAAGUUGCGGGCACAGCCGCGUCCAAAAAUAAGCGCCCGAAGGUCGUGGUGCCAAAACCCCCCUGCGGAAAAAUGGCCAAAAAACGGGUGGGCUAUAGCCUUGGAGGGGGCCCGGGCGAAGUUCGUCCGCCGGACUCGGAAUGGGGUGAGACUUUGCGAGGGGCCUCGGGGUGCCCGCGGGAAGUCACGGGCACAGCCGCGCCCAAAAAUAAGCGCCCGAAGGUCGUGGUGCCAAAACCCCCCAGCGGAAAAAUGGCCAAAAAAUGGGUGGGCUAUAGCCUUUGUGGGGGGCGCGGGCGAAGUUCGUCCGCCGGACUCGGAAUGGGGUGAGACUUUGCGAGGGGCCUCGGGGUGCCCGCGGGAAGUCGCGGGCACAGCCGCGUCCAGAAAUAAGCGCCCGAAGGUCGUGGUGCCAAAACCCCCCAGCGGAAAAAUGGCCAAAAAACGGGUGGGCUAUAGCCUUGGUGGGGGGCGCGGGCGAAGUUCGUCCGCCGGACUCGGAAUGGGGCGAGACUUUGCGAGGGGCCUCGAGGUGCCUGCGGAAAGUCGCGGGCACAGCCGCGUCCAAAAAUAAGCGCCCGAAGGUCGUGGUGCCAAAACCCCCCAGCGGAAAAAUGGCCAAAAAACGGGUGGGCUAUAGCCUUGGAGGGGGCCCGGGCGAAGUUCGUCCGCCGGACUCGGAAUGGGGCGAGACUUUGCGAGGGGCCUCGGGGUGCCAGCGGGAAGUCGCGGGCACAGCCGCGUCCAAAAAUAAGCGCCCGAAGGUCGUGGUGCCAAAACCCCCCAGCGGAAAAAUGGCCAAAAAACGGGUGGGCUAUAGCCUUGGUGGGGGGCGCGGGCGAAGAUCAUCCGCCGGACUCGGAAUGGGGCGAGACUUUGCGCGGGGCCUCGGGGCGCCAAAAAUAAGCCGCAGGCAAAGCCGCGCCCAAAAAUAAGCGCCCGAAGGUCGUGGUGCCAAAACCCCCCAGCGGAAAAAUGGCCAAAAAACGGGUGGGCUAUAGCCUUGGUGGGGGGCGCGGGCGAAGUUCGUCCGCCGGACUCGGAAUGGGGCGAGACUUUGCGAGGGGCCUCGGGGUGCCAGCGGGAAGUCGCGGGCACAGCCGCGUCCAAAAAUAAGCGCCCGAAGGUCGUGGUGCCAAAACCCCCCAGCGGAAAAAUGGCCAAAAAAGGGUGGGCUAUAGCCUUGGUGGGGGGCGCGGGCGAAGUUCGUCCGCCGGACUCGGAAUGGGGCGAGACUUUGCGAGGGGCCUCGGGGUGCCAGCGGGAAGUCACGGGCACAGCCGCGUCCAAAAAUAAGCGCCCGAAGGUCGUGGUGCCAAAACCCCCCAGCGGAAAAAUGGCCAAAAAACGGGUGGGCUAUAGCCUUGGUGGGGGGCGCGGGCGAAGUUCGUCCGCCGGACUCGGAAUGGGGCGAGACUUUGCGAGGGGCCUCGGGGUGCCAGCGGGAAGUCGCGGGCACAGCCGCGUCCAAAAAUAAGCGCCCGAAGGUCGUGGUGCCAAAACCCCCCAGCGGAAAAAUGGCCAAAAAACGGGUGGGCUAUAGCCUUGGUGGGGGGCGCGGGCGAAGUUCGUCCGCCGGACUCGGAAUGGGGCGAGACUUUGCGAGGGGCCUCGGGGUGCCAGCGGGAAGUCGCGGGCACAGCCGCGUCCAAAAAUAAGCGCCCGAAGGUCGUGGUGCCAAAACCCCCCAGCGGAAAAAUGGCCAAAAAAGGGUGGGCUAUAGCCUUGGUGGGGGGCGCGGGCGAAGUUCGUCCGCCGGACUCGGAAUGGGGUGAGACUUUGCGAGGGGCCUCGGGGUGCCAGCGGGAAGUCACGGGCACAGCCGCGUCCAAAAAUAAGCGCCCGAAGGUCGUGGUGCCAAAACCCCCCAGCGGAAAAAUGGCCAAAAAACGGGUGGGCUAUAGCCUUGGUGGGGGGCGCGGGCGAAGUUCGUCCGCCGGACUCGGAAUGGGGCGAGACUUUGCAAGGGGCCUCGGGGCACCAAAAAUAAGCCGCGGGCAAAGCCUCGCCCAAAAAUAAGCGCCCGAAGGUCGUGGUGCCAAAACCCCCCAGCGGAAAAAUGGCCAAAAAACGGGUGGGCUAUAGCCUUGGUGGGGGGCGCGGGCGAAGUUCGUCCGCCGGACUCGGAAUGGGGCGAGACUUUGCGAGGGGCCUCGGGGUGCCAAAAAUAAGCCACGGGCAAAGCCGCGCCCAAAAAUAAGCACCUGAAGGUCGUGGUGCCAAAAUCCCCCAGCGGAAAAAUGGCCAAAAAACGGGUGGGCUAUAGCCUUGGUGGUGGGCGCGGGCGAAGUUCGUCCGCCGGACUCGGAAUGGGGCGAGACUUUGCGAGGGGCAUCGGGGUGCCCGCGGGAAGUUGCGGGCACAGCCGCGUCCAAAAAUAAGCGCCCAAAGGUCGUGGUGCCAAAACCCCCCAGCGGAAAAAUGGCCAAAAAACGGGUGGGCUAUAGCCUUGGUGGGGGGCGCGGGCGAAGUUCGUCCGCCGGACUCGGAAUGGGGCGAGACUUUACGAGGGGCCUCGAGGCGCCUGCGGGAAGUCGCGGGCACAGCCGCAUCCAAAAAUAAGCGCCCGAAGGUCGUGGUGCCAAAACCCCCCAGCGGAAAAAUGGCCAAAAAACGGGUGGGCUAUAGCCUUGGAGGGGGCCCGGGCGAAGUUCGUCCGCCGGACUCGGAAUGGGGCGAGACUUUGCGAGGGGCCUCGGGGUGCCCGCGGGAAGUCGCGGGCACAGCCGCGCCCAAAAAUAAGCGCCCGAAGGUCGUGGUGCCAAAACCCCCCAGCGGAAAAAUGGCCAAAAAAUGGGUGGGCUAUAGCCUUGGUGGGGGGCGCUGGCGAAGUUCGUCCGCCGGACUCGGAAUGGGGCGAGACUUUGCGAGGGGCCUCGGGGUGCCCGCGGGAAGUCGCGGGCACAGCCGCGUCCAGAAAUAAGCGCCCGAAGGUCGUGGUGCCAAAACCCCCCAGCGGAAAAAUGGCCAAAAAACGGGUGGGCUAUAGCCUUGGUGGGGGGCGCGGGCGAAGUUCGUCCGCCGGACUCGGAAUGGGGCGAGACUUUGCGAGGGGCCUCGAGGUGCCUGCGGGAAGUCGCGGGCACAGCCGCGUCCAAAAAUAAGCGCCCGAAGGUCGUGCUGCCAAAACCCCCCAGCGGAAAAAUGGCCAAAAAACGGGUGGGCUAUAGCCUUGGUGGGGGGCGCGGGCGAAGUUCGUCCGCCGGACUCGGAAUGGGGCGAGACUUUGCGAGGGGCCUCGAGGUGCCUGCGGGAAGUCGCGGGCACAGCCGCGUCCAAAAAUAAGCGCCCGAAGGUCGUGAUGCCAAAACCCCCCAGCGGAAAAAUGGCCAAAAAACGGGUGGGCUAUAGCCUUGGUGGGGGGCGCGGGCGAAGUUCGUCCGCAAGACUCGGAAUGGGGCGAGACUUUGCGAGGGGCCUCGGGGUGCCAAAAAUAAGCCGCAGGCACGGCCGCGCCCAAAAAUAAGCGCCCGAAGGUCGUGGUGCCAAAACCCCCCAGCGGAAAAAUGGCCAAAAAACGGGUGGGCUAUAGCCUUGGUGGGGGGCGCGGGCGAAGUUCGUCCGCCGGACUCGGAAUGGGGCGAGACUUUGCGAGGGGCCUCGGGGUGCCCGCGGGAAGUUGCGGGCACAGCCGCGCCCAAAAAUAAGCGCCCGAAGGUCGUGGUGCCAAAACCCCCCAGCGGAAAAAUGGCGAAAAAACGGGUGGGCUAUAGCCUUGGUGGGGGGCGCGGGCGAAGUUCGUCCGCCGGACUCGGAAUGGGGCGAGACUUUGCGCGGGGCCUCGGGGCGCCAAAAAUAAGCCGCGGAAAAAUGCGCGCCCAAAAAUAAGCGCCCGAAGGUCGUGGUGCCAAAACCCCCCAGCGGAAAAAUGGCCAAAAAACGGGUGGGCUAUAGCCUUGGUGGGGGGCGCGGGCGAAGUUCGUCCGCCGGACUCGGAAUGGGGCGAGACUUUGCGAGGGGCCUCGGGGCACCAAAAAUAAGCCGUGGGCAAAGCCGCGCCCAAAAAUAAGCGACCGAAGGUCGUGGUGCCAAAACCCCCCAGCGGAAAAAUGGCCAAAAAACGGGUGGGCUAUAGCCUUGGUGGGGGGCGCGGGCGAAGUUCGUCCGCCGGACUCGGAAUGGGGCGAGACUUUGCGAGGGGCCUCGGGGCGCCAAAAAUAAGCCGCGGGCAAAGCCGCGCCCAAAAAUAAGCGCCCGAAGGUCGUGGUGCCAAAACCCCCCAGCGGAAAAAUGGCCAAAAAACGGGUGGGCUAUAGCCUUGGUGGGGGGCGCGGGCGAAGUUCGUCCGCCGGACUCGGAAUGGAGCGAGACUUUGCAAGGGGCCUCGGGGUGCCCGCGGGAAGUCGCGGGCACAGCCGCGUCAAAAAAUAAGCGCCCGAAGGUCGUGGUGCCAAAACCCCCCAGCGGAAAAAUGGCCAAAAAAUGGGUGGGCUAUAGCCUUGGUGGGGGGCGCGGGCGAAGUUCGUCCGACGGACUCGGAAUGGGGCGAGACUUUGCGAGGGGCCUCGGGGUGCCCGCGGGAAGUCGCGGGCACAGCCGCGUCCAAAAAUAAGCGCCCGAAGGUC
rnacentral:lncRNA from 1 species